GAUGAACGCUAGCGGCAGGCCUAACACAUGCAAGUCGAGGGGCAACAUGUUCAGUUUACUGAAUGAUGGCGACCGGCGCACGGGUGCGUAACCCGUAUGCAACCUACCCUAUACAGGGGGAUAGCCCGAAGAAAUUCGGAUUAAUACCCCAUAAUAUUGUUUACAAGCAUUUGUAGAUGAUUAAAGAUUUAUCGGUAUAGGAUGGGCAUGCGUUAGAUUAGUUAGUUGGUGAGGUAACGGCUCACCAAGACUGUGAUCUAUAGGGGUUCUGAGAGGAUGAUCCCCCACACUGGUACUGAGACACGGACCAG
rnacentral:rRNA from 1 species